AACGAACGCUGGCGGCAUGCCUAACACAUGCAAGUCGAACGAGAUCUUCGGAUCUAGUGGCGCACGGGUGCGUAACGCGUGGGAAUCUUCCCUUUGCUUCGGAAUAACAGUGAUAAAUUACUGCUAAUACCGGAUGAUGUCUUCGGACCAAAGAUUUCUCGGCAAAGGAUGAGCCCGCGUAGGAUUAGGUAGUUGGUGGGGUAAUGGCCUACCAAGCCGACGAGCCUUAGCUGGUCUGAGAGGAUGAUCAGCCACACUGGGAGUGAGACACGGCCCAGACUCUUACGGGAGGCGGCAGUGGGGAAUAUUGGACAAUGGGGGAAAACCUGAUACAGCAAGGCCGAGUGAGGGAUGAAGGCCUUAGGGUUGUAAAGCUAUUUUACCAGGGAUGAUAAUGACAGUACCUGAAGAAUAAGCUCCGGCUAACUCCGUG
rnacentral:rRNA from 1 species